rnacentral:rRNA from 1 species
GCGACGUUAUUGCCGCUCCAUGCAGUCGAACGGCAGCACGAGAGAGCUUGCUCUCUUGGUGGCGAGUGGCGGACGGGUGAGUAAUAUAUCGGAACGUGCCCAGUAGCGGGGGAUAACUACUCGAAAGAGUGGCUAAUACCGCAUACGCCCUACGGGGGAAAGGGGGGGAUUCUUCGGAACCUCUCACUAUUGGAGCGGCCGAUAUCGGAUUAGCUAGUUGGUGGGGUAAAGGCUCACCAAGGCAACGAUCCGUAGCUGGUUUGAGAGGACGACCAGCCACACUGGGACUGAGACACGGCCCAGACUCCUACGGGAGGCAGCAGUGGGGAAUUUUGGACAAUGGGGGAAACCCUGAUCCAGCCAUCCCGCGUGUAUGAUGAAGGCCUUCGGGUUGUAAAGUACUUUUGGCAGAGAAGAAAAGGUAUCUCCUAAUACGAGAUACUGCUGACGGUAUCUGCAGAAUAAGCACCGGCUAACUACGUGCCAGCAGCCGCGGUAAUACGUAGGGUGCAAGCGUUAAUCGGAAUUACUGGGCGUAAAGCGUGUGUAGGCGGUUCGGAAAGAAAGAUGUGAAAUCCCAGGGCUCAACCUUGGAACUGCAUUUUUAACUGCCGAGCUAGAGUAUGUCAGAGGGGGGUAGAAUUCCACGUGUAGCAGUGAAAUGCGUAGAUAUGUGGAGGAAUACCGAUGGCGAAGGCAGCCCCCUGGGAUAAUACUGACGCUCAGACACGAAAGCGUGGGGAGCAAACAGGAUUAGAUACCCUGGUAGUCCACGCCCUACACGAUGUCAACUAGCUGUUGGGGCCGUUAGGCCUUAGUAGCGCAGCUAACGCGUGAAGUUGACCGCCUGGGGAGUACGGUCGCAAGAUUAAUACUCAUAGGAAUUGACGGGGACCCGCACAAGCGGUGGAUGAUGUGGAUUAAUUCGAUGCAACGCGAAAAACCUUACCUACCCUUGACUGUCUGGAAUGCCGAAGAGAUUUGUCAUUGCUCGCAGAACAACCGGAACACAGGUGCUGCAUGGCUGUCGUCACCUCCGGUCCGGAAAUGUUGGGUUAAAUCGCGCACGACGCCACCCUUGUCAUAGUUGCUACCCAAAACCCUCUUAUGAAAUUGCCGGGACCACCCGGAGAAAG